rnacentral:rRNA from 1 species
UUGCAGCCAUUGAUUACAUGUUCGCAUGCAGUCGAACGGUGAAGCGAGUGCUUGCACUCGUGGAUCAGUGGCGAACGGGUGAGUAACACGUGAGUAACCUGCCCUCCACUCUGGGAUAAGCGCUGGAAACGGCGUCUAAUACUGGAUACGACCGACCCUCGCAUGGGGUGUUGGUGGAAAGAUUUAUCGGUGGUGGAUGGACUCGCGGCCUAUCAGCUUGUUGGUGGGGUAAUGGCCUACCAAGGCGACGACGGGUAGCCGGCCUGAGAGGGCGACCGGCCACACUGGGACUGAGACACGGCCCAGACUCCUACGGGAGGCAGCAGUGGGGAAUAUUGCACAAUGGGCGAAAGCCUGAUGCAGCGACGCCGCGUGAGGGAUGACGGCCUUCGGGUUGUAAACCUCUUUCAGCAGGGAAGAAGCUUUUGUGACGGUACCUGCAGAAGAAGCACCGGCUAACUACGUGCCAGCAGCCGCGGUAAUACGUAGGGUGCGAGCGUUGUCCGGAAUUAUUGGGCGUAAAGAGCUUGUAGGCGGUUUGUCGCGUCUGCUGUGAAAAUUCAGGGCUUAACCCUGGACGUGCAGUGGGUACGGGCAGACUAGAGUAUGGUAGGGGAGACUGGAAUUCCUGGUGUAGCGGUGGAAUGCGCAGAUAUCACGAGGAACACCGAUGGCGUACGCAGGUCUCUGGGCCAGUACUGACUCUGAGAAGCGACAGCAUGGGGAGCGUACAGGAUUAGAUACCCUCGUAGUACAUGCCGUACACGUUGGGCGCUCGGCGUGGGGUCUGAUUCCUUCGAGAUCCGUGUCGCAGCUACGCAUUACGCCUACCCUACUGAGUAGUGACCGCCGCCACGGCUACACUCAGAGUAUGACUGAGUUUCGGCACAGCAGCGAGCAUGCCUGAUAGUUCAUGCAACCAUGAUCUGACAGCUGACCCUCACCGGAUC